rnacentral:rRNA from 1 species
ACAGAGGGUGCGAGCGUUAAUCGGAAUUACUGGGCGUAAAGGGCGCGUAGGCGGUUGGUUAGUUAGGUGUGAAAUUCCUGGGCUCAACCUGGGGACUGCAUUUGAUACUGAUUGACUAGAGUAUGGUAGAGGGGAGUGGAAUUUCCGGUGUAGCGGUGAAAUGCGUAGAUAUCGGAAGGAACACCAGUGGCGAAGGCGACUCUCUGGGCCAAUACUGACGCUGAGGCGCGAAAGCGUGGGGAUCAAACAGGA